AACGAACGCUGGCGGCAUGCCUAACACAUGCAAGUCGAACGAGACCUUCGGGUCUAGUUGCGCACGGGUGCGUAACGCGUGGGAAUCUGCCCUUGGGUUCGGUAUAACUGUGAGAAAUUACUGCUAAUACCGGAUGAUGUCUUCGGACCAAAGAUUUAUCGCCCAGGGCUGAGCCCGCGUAGGAUUAGCUAGUUGGUGGGGUAAUGGCCGACCAAGGCGACGAUCCUUAGCUGGUCUGAGAGGAUGCUAAGCUAGACUGGGACUGAGACACGGCCCAGACUGGUACGGGGGGGAGCAGUGGGGAAUAUAGGACGAGGGGCGCAAGCCUGAUCAAGCAAUGCCGGGUGAGUGAUGAAGGGGUUAGGGUUGUAAAGCUCUUUUACCCGAGAUGAUAAUGACAGUACCGGGAGAAUAAGCUCCGGCUAACUCCGUG
rnacentral:rRNA from 1 species